AAAUUCUCUGUCCUUUUGGAACUCCAUUUACAUGUAUUUGACCUUUAAUUAUGUAGUCUAUACUUUAAUUACUCCUUUCUCUGUAAUCUCUUUGUAUUUUUCUCCUAUUUUCUUUUCACCUAUUUCCCAGUUUAUUAUUUCUCUGAUUUUGAGUUAUUAAUUUCAUUAUUGCGUUUUUCAGUUCUACAGUUUCUAUUCGGUUCUUUUUAAAUUCUGCUGUGUCUUUUUAUAUUUUUCUGUUCUUUGUGAAAUUCUCAGAGUUGUCUUUUCAUUACCCUGAACAUUUUAAACAUAAUAAUGUUAAGCUUUACAUCUAAUGAAUUCUUAAUCUGCAGACCCUGUGGGCCUCUUUCUAUUGUUGGUUAUUUCUGUUGAUGCCCAUUCAUGUUGCCCUGCCUUGUUUGCUCAUUUAUUUAUUUAUGCUGUAUACUCACAUCCAAGGUAACUCUUAUUUCAAGAACAGAUCAACUCUUUAUUCUUUUUUUUAAAAUAUUUAUUUAUUUAUUUAUUUUUGGCUGCAUCAGGUCUUAGUUGCAGCACGCGGGAUCUUCAUUAGGAUCUUUGUUGCAGCAUGCAGGAUCCUCCGCUGUGGCAUGCGGGCUAUCUAGUUGUGGUCUGUGUGCUCAGUAGUUGCAGCGCAUGGGCUUAGUUGCCCCACGGCAUGUGGGAUCUCAGUUCCCCGACCAGGGAUCAAACCCGUGUCCCCCACACUGGAAGGUGGAUUCUUAACCACAGGACCACCAGGGAAGUUCCUCUUAUUUCUUAAGUUAUGGUCUUUUGGGUCCCAGCCCAGAAUGUGGGAGUUUUGCUAGAGUUCCCCAACAUUGGCAUUCCUGGACCCCACAUUCAUCUCCCUAACCCUGCAAGGCUGUCCAAAGUGCUGUUUAGAUGCCUGACCUCCUGUUGCGGAAUCAGUAAACAUUCCCAGGAUUGCUAGUAAUCCAAACGCCUGGAUUACUACUCUGGUUUCUGUUUCCUCCUGCACCUUGGCAUAGAAAUUCAUCACUGCCUCUUUUGCUUUCUGGUGCCUUCAAGAAGAUAUGUUUUAUAUUUUGAACAAGUUUUCAGUUGUUGGCAAGAGAUUUGUCAGCAUUACCUUGUCCACCUUUACUCCUUUCUCUACUGACUCUUCAUCCACUUUCAUAUGGCUUCUUCCUCGUUUCACUGAGACCGAGUUUAUUAAUUUUUUCACCAGCAUCCUUGAUGUUGCCAAAUCAAAUGGACACUUUUCAGUUCUCAUGCUUCUCAUCUUCUCAGCAGCAAUUUGACAUAGUUAACUAUUCCUGUUUUGUAAUACUUUGUACACCUUAAGAUUUUCCACUGUCUCAAAACAUUCCUCAGUCUGUUUUUCUAACACUUUCUCUUCUAUACAAUCUGUUUUUCCUUUGUACAUUUCUUACAAAAAAUUUUUAACAAAUGCAUAAAUGUGAUCAUAAAUGCUUUCUUUUUUAAAAUUGAAAUCUUAUUUUUUUUUCUUGAAUUUUGUUUGGUUAUCCCCACCCCACUGUCAGCCUCAUUCUCUAUCCCCGUUAGGUAGCUCAUGUCACCUGUUUCUAACCUUUCAUAUUUCUCUCCAUGCUUGUAUAAUCGUAUACAGAAAAAGAUAUAUACACACACACACAUUAUACAAGGUGUCUAUUUUUCUUUUUCUUUUUUUUUUACACAAUUGGACUAUAUUAUGCCCACUUUUCUGCAACUUGCUUUUAUUUUGGUUUACUGUAUUUUUUUUUUUUUUUUUUUUUUUUGCGGUACACGGGCCUCUCACCGCUGUGGCCUCUCCCGUUGCGGAGCACAGGCUCCGGACGCGCAGGCCCAGCGGCCAUGGAUCACGGGCCCAACCGCUCCGCGGCAUGCGGGAUCCUCCCAGACCGGGGCACGAACCCGCGUCCCCUGCAUCGGCAGGCGGACUCUCAACCACGGCGCCACCAGGGAAGCCCUACUGUGUUGUCUUCUCAUUUUGUUGAUGGUUUCCUUUGCUGUUCAGAAGCCUUUUAGUUUAAUGUAGUCUCAUGUAGUCUCACUUGUUUAUUUUUGCUUUAGUCGCCUUUGGUUUUGGUGUCAAAUCCAAAAAACCAUUGCCAAGACUGAUGUCAAUGAGCUUAACCCACCUAUGUUCACUUCUAAGAGUUUCAGAGUUUCAGCUCUUACUUUCAAGUCUUUAGUCCAUUUUGAGUUAAUUUUUGUGUCUAGUAUAAGAUAGUGGUUGAAUUUUAUUCUGUUGCAUGUGGCUGUCCAAUUUUCCUAACAUCACUUAUUGAAGAGACUGUGCUUUCCCCCAUUAUACAUUCUUGGCUCCUUUGCCAUAAGUUAAUCAGCUAUACAUGUGUGGACAAAAGCAAUCUACAGAUUCAAUGCAAUCAAAAUUCCAAUGGCAUUUGUCACAGAAAUAGAACAAACAAUCCUAAAAUUUGCAUGGCACCACCAAAGAGCCAAAGUAAUCUUGAGAAAGAUGAACAAAGCUGGAGGCAUCAUGCUCCCUGAUGCCUCCAGGCAUCAAACUAUAUUACAAAGUUAUAAUAAUCAAAACAGUAUGGUUCUGGCAUAAAAAGAGACAGAUCAAUGGGACCGAAUAGACAGCUCAGAAAUAAUAAUGUUUAACAUUAUUAAUUCUUCCAGUUCAUGAGCAUGAUAUACCUUUCCAUCUGUUUGUGUUGUCUUCGAUUUCUUUCAUCAGCAUCUUAUAAUUUUCAGAGCACAGGUCUCUUACCUCCUCAGUUAGAUUUACUCCUAGAUAUUUUAUUUUUGAUGCAAUUAUAAAUGGAUUUUCUUAAUUUCUCUGAUAGUUUGUUGUUAGUGUAUAGAAAUGCAACAGAUUUCUGUAUAUUAAUUUUGUAUCCUGCAAUGUUACUGAAUUCAUUUAUUAGUUCUAAUAGGUUUUUGGUGACAUCUUUAGCAUUUUCUUUAUAAAGCAUCAUGUCAUCUUUAAACAGUGACAGUUUUACUUCUCUCUUUGGAUUCCUUUUUUUUUUUUCCCUUGUCUGAUUGCUGUGGCUAGGACUUACAAUACUAUGUUUAAACCUGGUAAGAGUGGGCAUCCUUGUCUGAGGGUAGUGCUUGUCUUGUAAAAUGAGUUUUGCAGCUGUUCCCUUUUCUAUAUUUUGG